rnacentral:lncRNA from 1 species
AUCAGGUUGCGGCUCCCAUAACCCAAUCCUUCCUCCUCUGAGCUCUCCUGCACUGUCUCACCCAGGAGCUUUCUGGGGACACCUCAUAUCUAAACCAUCGCACAAGUUAAAGUAGAUCAAAGUCGGGACAAACACCUCAAGGGCCACACGUGGUGAGAAUAUGACACAGUCAUUGGUUUAGAAGAGAAUAAAAAGGGGAAAGAGGAAGAAACAAGUAAGUUAUGAAACGUGAGGCUCUUGUUGGCUUUUUAAAGUAUCUCUGUAAACAAGUUGAGGAGCGAGAGCCAGCCUGUGAGUGGUCCCGCAGGCCUGCAGACUGGCUGGUGGACCUCGCCAGCUUCCUAGGCAAGAGUCUCACAUCGCAGGUGAAGAGCUUCAGCUUCCCAAUCUUGCCCUGGCUUUUCAGCUGACCCUCUUAAAUACAGGAGGGGCUCAGGGACUUGUAUCAAAAUGAAUCCCAAAGCUACCCAGAAGGAGACCACCCAUGUAGGAAGGGCAGGAAGGUGACCUCGGCUCCUGUGGUGGGUGUGUAGUCCUUCACGCUGUUCUCAUCACACUUGGACUUGCUGAAUGCCCUGUACGCUGAUCCAGAGCCCACGUCUCUCAGGCUGGCUUCUCCUCUCCCUCACGGGCUGACCACAGCACGCCACACUCAGCUGGAUUCUGGAAAGGAGUCCAGCGAAGCACACAACCUGUCGAGAUGGAGAACGUUGCCUUGCUU